UCUAGGGUCCACGUUCAGUCCUCAUUCCCAGAUACAAAAGCUGCUGCCACUGAGCAAUUAGUGCAUGGAGGAGACUAGUAGGAAACAGCUCACUGGUCAGCCUGAGGCAUAGUUUAAACAUAUGAACCUCAUCAACAGAAACAACACAAUAAGUUGGGCCCCUCAUUGUCAGGAGCAUCCAAGAGACCAAGAAAUGAAUGGGGCUGAAGACCAAACUACAAGAACAAGGCUGCGGCCUCUGCCAAGAUGCUGUGGGGGAAGCCUGUACUGCUAUUGUCUACUAUGCAGCACCUGUUCUAUGGGACCGUCAGGACUGCUCAAAUAUCAACAAACACAGGUGUUUAAAUACUCCUGGAGGAAAAUGAUUUCUCAUUAAUCUUGCUGCAUGGCUGGAGUAAGGUAAAAGCUCUUGGAAGAACAGCUUUGGAUACCUUUGCAAUGACUGAGUGGACACAUUUUAAAUACAUAUGAAACCCAUAAGAUGAAGACCCCCCGUUGGAAAGUUAACUCAACAUUACCGGUUUGCUUAAGUUUAUCCUCAAGGAGAAGCAAUGCGCCUAACUGCUGAAAAUCCUUAAUUCAGUGUCAUGGCAACACCUAUGCAAACAGUCUAUGAAACGUGUGCUUUAGAAAGUAACUCUUUUAGUAACAGAACAUGUGCAUCUCUGUCCUCUCUCUGCCUCCACCCCAGAGCCAAUUCAUAAACGGGGCUGGCUAACGGCCCCGUAAUAAUGACCGUGGAAUGAGGCAAACCUCCCACUGUAGCAUAAGGAGAAAUAGAAGAAUUUCCAUAUGCUUUCUCUUCAUUUCUGGAUGGCUGGGGGUCGGGCUGCAGCUGCUGCCCUUGCUGCUACUUCUGUUACCAAUGGCAUUCAGACUGACAGCUCUCAGUGCCAAACCAACAACUGUACUCAGGAGCUCCCGAACAAGACAGUGGCAGCGGCAGCAGGAACAGCAGCGGCAGCCACCUCCACCCCAGCCCGGCCGGGACACUCUCUUGGGUCCACCGCUACCACUGAACAGCGAGGAGCGAAGCUGGGAACGACCCUGCAGGAGACACGUGUGUGUCCCCUGGCUUUGCAGUCCCGGGUCCAUAUCUCCGCCUAUUCCCUUCGCCCUCGGCCACAUGCUGACGGGAUAAGCAUGGAAGCCCACAGUAAAGGGGGAGCGAAGGACAGCAGGAUGAAGCGCCGCCCUGCACAGCCAUUCACCACCAUCACCUCCAAGGAAUCGACCUAUGUGGAGAUUCAGGAUUUCCCCCGAGGGAGGGAAGCCAGGCCCCAGACCCUAAAGCUGACUCUGGCAGGGAGCGGAGGAAAAGUGGCCUUUCUCAGCCCUAAAAACGGAGCUUGUGAGAUCAGCGCUGUUAGCUGCUCGGCUCACAACGCGCUG